rnacentral:rRNA from 1 species
UACGUAGGGACCGAGCGUUGUCCGGAUUCAUUGGGCGUAAAGAGCUCGUAGGCGGCCACUCAAGUCGAAUGUGAAACCUCGAGGCUUAACCUCGAGCCUGCAUUCGAUACUGGGCGGCUAGAGUCUGGUAGGGGGAUCUGGAAUUCCUGGUGUAGCGGUGGAAUGCGCAGAUAUCAGGAGGAACACCAAUGGCGAAAGCAGCUUUCUGGGACGGUACUGACGCUGAGACGCGAAAGCGUGGGGAGCGAACAGG